GCAUGCUCAGUCGGGUACCCCGGAUAGCAGCUUUAGAGAAACGUGUAGGAAGGGAUUGUCAUGUCAGGGCGUCAAGGAGGAAAGAAGAAACCGUUAAAACAGCCGAAGAAAAAACAAGAUGGAGACGAGGAGGAAGAUCGAGACUUUAAACAAAAGCAGAAGGAAGACCAGAAGAAACUGGCUGAAAUGAAGGCAAAAGCAGCUCAGAAAGGACCUCUAGUGACUGGAGGCAUCAAGAAGAGCGGCAAGAAAUAACAACAAGCAUGUGUCCCAUGACGAUUACUGGCAAUAGAAUCCGAUCACAUUCAACUAAAUUUCACUUCAUUGGUAAAAUCACUAGACUAGAGAUCUUGUAGUCAAAGUUUGUACUCAUGAUCUACAUCUAGAGCAUGUCAAUAGACGACGUUAUGUUAUGUUGGUAGAGAAUGUGAUGUCAGACGUUUAUCACA